UCCCUAGAAGGACCUGACAAACCACACUGAACUAUUUCUGCAAUUUAAGUAGCAAUCUGAGAGAUUUGCUAAAGGAGGUCUUCAGGAGCUUCAAAAUGGAAUCAAACUAGAUCCAACAUGUGUGCAUGCCUCUCCUUUGGGGAGGUAUUGUGAAGGCUGCUAGAGUUAUAAUUUCUAAUGGCUUCAAAGUGUAUUAAUUCAUCUAAACAGGAAGAUGAUUGAAACUUUUUUUCUCAACCCUAUAUGCAGCUUAUUUAGAUAACCACCAGAUGCACGAGUUUCUAAGAAACAGGCUAAUAAUAUAGAAUGUAAUUUUGAAAGCAGCUUUAGGCCUAGUUUCUGAAGACAAUACAAUGGAUCGCUAAAUGAUUUCAAACCAUCACUGUAAAUACACAUUAUUAAAAAUUAUGUUCACUUAAUAGAAGAUAGAAUAGUUAAACCCACACAGCUUUGCUCCUAGCAACAUAGCUGUUUUGAUUUUUCUCUAUUUCAGAAACAGUUUCUAAGGAUAUUGUUUCCCCACAACUGAUGAUAUCCAGGGACAUGGAUGAAUCUGGAAAACAUCAUCCUCAGCAAACUGACACAAGAACAGAAAAUGAAACACCGCAUAUUCUCACUCAUAGGUGG
rnacentral:lncRNA from 13 species